rnacentral:rRNA from 1 species
UGAGUAACACGUGGGUAAUCUGCCCUGCACUUUGGGAUAAGCCUGGGAAACUGGGUCUAAUACCGAAUAGGACCGCGCUCUUCAUGGGGUGUGGUGGAAAGCUUUUGCGGUGUGGGAUGGGCCCGCGGCCUAUCAGCUUGUUGGUGGGGUAAUGGCCUACCAAGGCGACGACGGGUAGCCGGCCUGAGAGGGUGACCGGCCACACUGGGACUGAGAUACGGCCCAGACUCCUACGGGAGGCAGCAGUGGGGAAUAUUGCACAAUGGGCGCAAGCCUGAUGCAGCGACGCCGCGUGAGGGAUGACGGCCUUCGGGUUGUAAACCUCUUUCAGUACCGACGAAGCGCAAGUGACGGUAGGUACAGAAGAAGGACCGGCCAACUACGUGCCAGCAGCCGCGGUAAUACGUAGGGUCCGAGCGUUGUCCGGAAUUACUGGGCGUAAAGAGCUCGUAGGUGGUUUGUCG